UUUGCUUCGUUCCCUUUUUUAGAUAUCCUUCAAAUAAACAAGCAGGAAGUUUUUUGGAAAGUAGCAUACAUUAAUUUUAAGUAAGAAUGCCAGUAUUAAACAGCAUGUUGCUUUGUCCAAAUUCUCUAGCAUCAUGUUACCUGUCUCCUGGUAUAUGA